rnacentral:rRNA from 1 species
GUCUACGGCCAUACCACCCGGAAAGGCCCGACCUCGUCUGAUCUGGGAAGCUAAAUAGGGUCGGGCCCGGUUAGUACGUGGAUGGGAGACCGCCUGGGAAUACCGGGUGCUGUAGGCU